UGGUGGAGUGAUUUGUCUGGUUAAUUCCGUUAACGAACGAGACCUCGACCUGCUAAAUAGUUGAUCGAACCUCUCGGGGUUUGCGUUAACUUCUUAGAGGGACUUUUAGUGAAUAGCUAAAGGAAGUUCGAGGCAAUAACA
rnacentral:rRNA from 1 species